rnacentral:rRNA from 1 species
UACGUAGGUGACCAGCGUUGUCCGGAUUUACUGGGCGUAAAGAGCGCGCAGGCGGUCGUUCAAGUCGAGUGUGAAAGCCCCCGGCUCAACUGGGGAGGGUCAUUCGAUACUGAUCGACUCGAAGGCAGGAGAGGGAAGCGGAAUUCCCGGUGUAGUGGUGAAAUGCGUAGAUAUCGGGAGGAACACCAGUGGCGAAGGCGGCUUCCUGGACCGACACUGACGCUGAGGCGCGAAAGCUAGGGGAGCAAACGGG